AUGCCGUCGUCUCAGGUUUCGAAGUUUUCAUCUAUGCAUGAUGAGUUGACGGAUGGCCAUGGUGUUGAGGGUGUUGGUUAUGUCCCCCCUGGCCCUAGUAAUGCUAGUACUUCACAGAGGCAGGAUUUUGGUAUUGAUGUUGUUGUUUUAGCGCUGGAGUGCGCUGAGCAUAUUUUAAGUAAUGUGUGUUCUGAGCUGAAAAAGGUCCCAACGACAGUUGAGCGUCUGAGUUGUAUCAAUGGUAUCCUUCCUGAAGGUCAUCAAUUUAAUGCUGAUGAAGCUGUUGACUACAUUGAGAUGGAGAGAGUUUUAAUUGGUGAUAUGCGUGACGGUGCCGCCGAUCUAAUUCAGAGCUCGAUUCGUCUGUUGAACAACAUGAAGCGUUUCAGAACUAUGCAAGACUCUCGCUGCAAGCCAUAUGAAGAAAAAGCAAAUAUUCUUAUCAAGCAGAUUGAGUAG
rnacentral:rRNA from 1 species